rnacentral:rRNA from 1 species
AUUGAACGCUGGCGGCAGGCCUAACACAUGCAAGUCGAGCGAGCGGCGGCCGGGUGAGUAAUGUAUGGGGAUCUGCCCGAUAGAGGGGGCUAACUACUGGAAACGGUGGCUAAUACCGCAUACUAUCGGCUGAACCCAUAUGGGAUUAGCUAGUAGAUGGGGUAAAGGCUAACUUAGGCCACGAUCUCUAGCUGUUCUGAGAGGAAGACCAUCACUACUGGGAAUGAGACACGGCCCAGACUCCUACGAGAGGCAGCAGUGGGGAAUAUUGCACAAUGGGAGCAAGCCUGAUGCAGCCAUGCCGCGUGUAUGAAGAAGACCUUAGGGUUGUAAAGUACUUUCAGCGGGGAGGCGUUACCCGCAGAAGAAGCACCGGCUAACUCCGUGCCAGCAGCCGCGGUAAUUC